rnacentral:rRNA from 1 species
UUGGAGGGCAAGUCUGGUGCCAGCAGCCGCGGUAAUUCCAGCUCCAAUAGCGUAUAUUAAAGUUGUUGCAGUUAAAAAGCUCGUAGUUGAAUUUCGGGAUUGACGUGAUGGUCAUGCCUUAAGGGGUAUGAACUGUUACUGUUGAUUUCUCACCUUCUGGAGAAACUUGAUGUCCUUUAUUGGGUGUCUUGCGGAUCCAGGACCUUUACCUUGAAAAAAUUAGAGUGUUUAAAGCAGGCAUUUUUGCUCGAAUACAUUAGCAUGGAAUAAUAGAAUAGGACGGCAUGGUUCUAUUUUGUUGGUUUCUAGGAUCACCGUAAUGAUUAAUAGGGAUAGUUGGGGGCAUUAGUAUUCAAUUGUCAGAGGUGAAAUUCUUGGAUUUAUUGAAGACUAACUACUGCGAAAGCAUUUGCCAAGGAUGUUUUCAUUAAUCAAGAACGAAAGUUCGGGGAUCGAAGACGAUCAGAUACCGUCGUAGUCUUAGCCAUAAACUAUGCCGACUAGGAAUCAGACGAUGUUAAUUUUUUAAUGACUCGUUUGGCACCUUACGGGAAACCAAAGUGUUUGGGUUC